CCAGAAAUAAACCCAGAUAGUAAAUAUACGCCCUAUCCGCCAGAGAACUACCAGCGAAAAGCUAAAAACUCAAAGGAUUUGACGGUGUCCCACAUCAACCUAGAGGAGCCUGUCCUAUAAUCGAUAACCCACGUUAUACCCAACCUGUUCUCGCACCCCCAGCCUAUAUACCGCCGCCUUCAGCCUACCUAAUGAUAGUCCAAGUAAGCACAACAGCCCGCACUAAAACGUCAGGUCAAGGUGUAGCUAAUGGACAGGAAGAGAUGGGCUACAUUUUCUGCCAACAGAAAAAACCCGCACGUCAUGAAACUUUCGCUAAAAGGUGGAUUUAGCAGUAAGCUCGGUAAGACAAGCCAAACUGAAACAUGCUCUGGGACG
rnacentral:rRNA from 1 species